UCAGGAACUGGUAUUGAAGUCAAGGUAUCGGUAUCGAAAUUUUUUGAACGAUACCCAGCCCUAUUUAUUAAACAAUCAGUCCUGCUUCAAAUUACAUUUUUUUUUAAGUGUGUCAUGUGCCAUGUUUGCAAAGCAUCACGCAUGAGCAUGUGUUUGUAUUUAAUCACAACAAAUAAUUACUAUUAGAAAGUUGAUUCACAUGCACAUGUCAGAGAGUAAGAUUAACACUGAUCGGCUUGGCGUAUUUUAUUACGGUGAAUGCAGACGUUCCAGAACCGUUAACAGAACUGAAUCACGAAGUGCAGAAACCCAACUAACAAAAA